UACAUACAUAUAUUUUUUACAAUAGAGAGUGCGAUAUUUUUUAAAUAUUUUUUUGACAUGUCCCCUCUGUCCCCCCCAGGAUUUACGCCCAUGAUUACAAUGACAAUGUAACACUUGAUGAAAGAGAAGAAAAGCUGUAUUUCGAUUCCUCUGUAUGUGUGCACAUAUGGUGGCAUUGGCAAAUUAAAACCUUGAACUUUAAAUCUUAAACCUUGAUAGUACAAAAUGCAUACAAACAAUUUACAAGGCUUAACUCUUGGCACUGUUUAUUCACAACAAAGGUAACCACAGCAGAAGUACUCAAGGGAGCCAGGAGUUGACUUGCAUGUUGCUGGGGCAUGCCCUGCAUCUAGCAUACCCUGCCGAGGUCCCUUCUCCACUCCCGAGCACCACCAAGGUCCCCUCUCCGUUCCCGAGCCCCACCAAGCUCCUCUUUUUACUCCUAAACCGAGGCGCCGCUCCGCUCCAGAGCCCUGCCGAGUGCCCCGCCUAGCUCCAGAGCCAUGCUGACUAUGUUGUUCCAUCCCCGGGUUUUGCUGACGAUGUGGUUUCCGCAGAAGGCGUCGCUCCGUCUCAGACCUCUGCAGAGGGGCAUCGGUCCUAGAGGCAGCAACCAGAAGGCCAGAUCCACAAUUCAUCUGGCAUUUCGUCAGCCAUUCUCUUGGAAUAGGUCUUCUUCUCUACUAAUGCCUCUCUUUCGACCUCAUUGAAAGAUUCCCAUGUUGCUGCGUUCUGGCAUGGGGCAUUAAACUGCUUGCCAUUCUGCUCAGAAUUCCGCCUGGUUUUCUUGCUGGUCCAGGCCCCGCCCUGCAUUGGUUGGAUCAGCAUUGAUGUUGGAGUUCUCAGCAAGCAAGCCUGUAGAGAGGGAAAACACUUCUAACUCUGCAUCUCUUACAAUGUCCCUUUAAACCUUCACCCUAUCAUCACACUCUCCACUGAAGAAUGUUGGUUCCUUCACUUUCUCUUCCUUUAUCUCUUCUUCUUUUACUACAGAAGAAAACUUCCUCAUGACCUCUGUCCAAAAAAGAGAAAAAUAAUGGCCUUCAACAUAUUCUUAGAGUGUAAGGCCAUUUUCAGAACAUGUUGAUAAUGAUUGAGAUUAUGAAAACAAUGAAAGCACAGCUUCCUGAAUUUUGUAUUUUUUAGGUUGUAUUCUAUUUUUGUCUCCUGAUUACUUUGAUGAAUGGUUUGUGAGAAGUGAUGGAUGGCAAAAAUGCAUGGCAAAAGAGACACAUAUUUCUUUGUAGGCCAGUGCAGAAUAUAUGUUCUCACUGGUUUCAUUUAUAAGACGUGAUUUUACCUGUGAUCACAGUAUUCACAUGAUGUCAUGUGUGUUUACUUGGAAUUAAAUUUCAGGGCAUUGCAUUGCCCUGUGAUCACAUUAUUUACCAAAUCAUAUAUGAUUUCUGAAUAUAAAGAUUCUAUGAGGACACCAGUCA